GGCUUCAUUUUCCUUUUUGGAGAGGGUUGGACGAACGAUAAGGUCUCUUCUAGGCUGAAAUCUAUGGUCUUAUUUUUUGAAGACUUUGAGAGGAAUGGGGCCUUGACCAUUCUGGUUUUGGCCUCUGUGGGAGAAGGAAUAGGACAGGGGCUUCAGCUGAAGAAGGAGAAGGACCUGUGAAGGAGAUUUGGAGGGCUUUAGAAUUAAGAAGAAAGAGAUUGAAGCUGGAAGGAGGAGAAAGAUUUAAACUGAAAGAGGACCUAAGGAGAACUCCAAGAGGGAGAGGAAAAUAAGACAAGUGCUUCUCCGUGAUGGGAAGACACCUCACCUGAGAGUCUGAGGAUGCCCUGGAGCUUCCUUGCACACUCUGCGAAGAGACCUUCUCUCCAAAGGCCUUUCUUGAUCUCUGUUUCCCCCUUUCUCUUUUGUUAGUGCUUUCCCUCUCUAUAAAUUACUUUAUAUAACUUCA